GUUCCCAUAGCUCAAUUGGAUAGAGCGUCGGCCUCCGGAGCCGAAGGUUGCAGGUUCGACUCCUGCUGGGAACG
rnacentral:tRNA from 1 species